UCUACGGGAGGCAGCAGUGGGGAAUAUUGCGCAAUGGGCGAAAGCCUGACGCAGCGACGCCGCGUGAGGGAUGAAGGUUUUCGGAUCGUAAACCUCUGUCAGAAGGGAAGAAGUUGCAUGGGGCCAAUCACCUGUGCAUUGACGGUACCUUCAAAGGAAGCACCGGCUAACUCCGUGCCAGCAGCCGCGGUAAUACGGAGGGUGCGAGCGUUAAUCGGAAUUACUGGGCGUAAAGCGCACGUAGGCUGUAUGUCAAGUCAAGGGUGAAAUCCCACGGCUCAACCGUGGAACUGCCUUUGAAACUGGCAAACUGGAGUAUGUGAGAGGGUGGCGGAAUUCCUGGUGUAGGAGUGAAAGCCGUAGAUAUCAGGAGGAACAUCAGUGGCGAAGGCGGCUAUCUGGCACAUAACUGACGCUGAGGAGCGAAAGCGUGGGUAGCAAACAGGAUUAGAUACCCCUGUAGUC
rnacentral:rRNA from 1 species